rnacentral:rRNA from 1 species
ACGAACGCUGGCGGCGUGCCUAAUACAUGCAAGUCGAACGCUUCUUUUUCCACCGGAGCUUGCUCCACCGGAAAAAGAGGAGUGGCGAACGGGUGAGUAACACGUGGGUAACCUGCCCAUCAGAAGGGGAUAACACUUGGAAACAGGUGCUAAUACCGUAUAACAAUCGAAACCGCAUGGUUUUGAUUUGAAAGGCGCUUUCGGGUGUCGCUGAUGGAUGGACCCGCGGUGCAUUAGCUAGUUGGUGAGGUAACGGCUCACCAAGGCGACGAUGCAUAGCCGACCUGAGAGGGUGAUCGGCCACAUUGGGACUGAGACACGGCCCAAACUCCUACGGGAGGCAGCAGUAGGGAAUCUUCGGCAAUGGACGAAAGUCUGACCGAGCAACGCCGCGUGAGUGAAGAAGGUUUUCGGAUCGUAAAACUCUGUUGUUAGAGAAGAACAAGGAUGAGAGUAACUGUUCAUCCCUUGACGGUAUCUAACCAGAAAGCCACGGCUAACUACGUGCCAGCAGCCGCGGUAAUACGUAGGUGGCAAGCGUUGUCCGGAUUUAUUGGGCGUAAAGCGAGCGCAGGCGGUUUCUUAAGUCUGAUGUGAAAGCCCCCGGCUCAACCGGGGAGGGUCAUUGGAAACUGGGAGACUUGAGUGCAGAAGAGGAGAGUGGAAUUCCAUGUGUAGCGGUGAAAUGCGUAGAUAUAUGGAGGAACACCAGUGGCGAAGGCGGCUCUCUGGUCUGUAACUGACGCUGAGGCUCGAAAGCGUGGGGAGCAAACAGGAUUAGAUACCCUGGUAGUCCACGCCGUAAACGAUGAGUGCUAAGUGUUGGAGGGUUUCCGCCCUUCAGUGCUGCAGCUAACGCAUUAAGCACUCCGCCUGGGGGGUACGACCGCAAGGUUGAAACUCAAAGGAAUUGACGGGGGCCCGCACAAGCGGUGGAGCAUGUGGUUUAAUUCGAAGCAACGCGAAGAACCUUACCAGGUCUUGACAUCCUUUGACCACUCUAGAGAUAGAGCUUCCCCUUCGGGGGCAAAGUGACAGGUGGUGCAUGGUUGUCGUCAGCUCGUGUCGUGAGAUGUUGGGUUAAGUCCCGCAACGAGCGCAACCCUUAUUGUUAGUUGCCAUCAUUUAGUUGGGCACUCUAGCAAGACUGCCGGUGACAAACCGGAGGAAGGUGGGGAUGACGUCAAAUCAUCAUGCCCCUUAUGACCUGGGCUACACACGUGCUACAAUGGGAAGUACAACGAGUCGCAAAGUCGCGAGGCUAAGCUAAUCUCUUAAAGCUUCUCUCAGUUCGGAUUGUAGGCUGCAACUCGCCUACAUGAAGCCGGAAUCGCUAGUAAUCGCGGAUCAGCACGCCGCGGUGAAUACGUUCCCGGGCCUUGUACACACCGCCCGUCACACCACGAGAGUUUGUAACACCCGAAGUCGGUGAGGUAACCUUUUGGAGCCAGCCGCCUAAGGUGGGAUAGAUGAUUGGGGUG